AGAGAAGCCCUGUGGCUGAUGAGAGGUAUCUUUGAGAAAUAAUAUCUCCUGUGGAGGAUAAAUGAAGCAGCAUGGAUGGACCUAGAGAUUAUCAUACUAAGUGAAGCAACAUGGAUGGUCCUAGAAAUUAUCAUACUAAGUGAAGCAACAUGGAUGGUCCUAGAAAUUAUCAUACUAAGUGAAGUAA